CUAACCUGGGUUUAAGAUGGGAAGGAUCUGCCAUGAAAAUGAAGAAAUUGUUAAUUGGAAAAAAUAUGGGAUUUUGGCAGAUCGACUUCAGGCAGCAAGGCGAGGUGCGGCGAGAGAACACGACGGAAGCGACACACCACCAGUGGGAAGCAGAGUAGAGCAGACGCACGACCAGCGCAGAGCAGUGCAGCGCAGACCAAGGAUGACGGACGAUGACGACGAUGGACGCUCACGCCGCCAAGGACGACGACGACGACGCCGCCGCCGUAGAUGGAGGACGACACCAACGAAUGGAUCGGAGGAGAAACGCAGUGACUUCACAGAGAACAAGC